rnacentral:rRNA from 1 species
GAUGAACGCUGGCGGCGUGCCUAAUACAUGCAAGUCGAGCGAACAGACGAGGAGCUUGCUCCUCUGACGAUUGCGGCGGACGGGUGAGUAACACGUGGAUAACCUAUCUAUAAGACUGGGAUAACUUCGGGAAACCGGAUCUAAUACCGGAUAAUAUAUUGAACCGCAUGGUUCACUAGUGAAAGACGGUUUUGCUGUCACUUAUAGAACGUUCGGCGUCUCAUUAGCUAGUUGGUAAGGUAACGGCUUACAAAGGCAACGAUGCGUAGCCGACCUGAGAGGGUGAUCGGCAACACUGGAACUGAGACACGGUCCAGACUCCUACGGGAGGCAGCAGAAGGGAAUCUUCGGAAAUGGGCGAAGGCCUGACGGAGCAACACCGCGUGAGUGAUGAAGGUCUUCGGAUCGUAAAACUCUGUUAUUAGGGAAGAACAAAUGUGUAAGUAACUAUGCACGUCUUGACGGUACCUAAUCAGAAAGCCACGGCUAACUACGUG